CGGCAGCACGGAGAGCUUGCUCUCUGGUGGCGAGUGGCGAACGGGUGAGUAAUAUAUCGGAACGUGUCCAAUAAUGGGGGAUAACGAGUCGAAAGAUUCGCUAAUACCGCAUACGCCCUACGGGGGAAAGCAGGGGAUCGUAAGACCUUGCGUUAAUGGAGCGGCCGAUAUCUGAUUAGCUUGUUGGUGAGGUAAAGGCUCACCAAGGCGACGAUCAGUAGCUGGUUUGAGAGAACGACCAGCCACACUGGAACUGAGACACGGUCCAGACUCCUACGGGAGGCAGCAGUGGGGAAUUUUGGACAAUGGGGGCAACCCUGAUCCAGCCAUUCCGCGUGAGUGAAGAAGGCCUUCGGGUUGUAAAGCUCUUUCGCAAGGGAAGAAAACUUAUGAUCGAAUAAAUCAUGAGGUUGACGGUACCUUGAUAAGAAGCACCGGCUAACUACGUGC
rnacentral:rRNA from 1 species